rnacentral:rRNA from 1 species
AUUGAACGCUGGCGGCAGGCCUAACACAUGCAAGUCGAGCGGAUGAAGGGAGCUUGCUCCUGGAUUCAGCGGCGGACGGGUGAGUAAUGCCUAGGAAUCUGCCUGGCAGUGGGGGAUAACGUCCGGAAACGGGCGCUAAUAUCGCAUACGUCCUGAGGGUGAAAGUGGGGGUUCUUCGGACCUCACGCUUCCAGCUGAGACUAGGUCGGAUUAGCUAGUUGGUGGGGUAAAGGCCUACCAAGGCGACGAUCCGUAACUGAUCUGAGAGGAUGAUCAGUCACACUGGAACUGAGACACGGUCCAGACUCCUACGGGAGGCAGCAGUGGGGAAUAUUGGACAAUGGGCGAAAGCCUGAUCCAGCCAUGCCGCGUGUGUGAAGAAGGUCUUCGGAUUGUAAAGCACUUUAAGUUGGGAGGAAGGGCAGUAAGUUAAUACCUUGCUGUUUUGGCGUUACCAACAGAAUAAGCACCGGCUAACUUCGUG